rnacentral:lncRNA from 1 species
UUCUCAAUAUGGCUAAAAAUUACCCGUUUUCCUUCGAUUGCCUUACUUUAAGAAACAUCAGUAUUGCUGGAUCCUUGAAGCAUUUUUUUUAUACAAACAAUUAUUAUCCGUAUUUAAAGAUAGUUUUUGUUGGAAAUCAAACUGGUAAGUUAAAAAAACAUUUAAAGCAAGAUCAUAGAAAAUAAGAUAUUUUUUUUGGCGAGGACCUUGAAUUUUAAUAUUGGUGAAAGCUGAUCAGACAUGUAUAUAACUACAACAAGGGACUUUCUAAAAUAGUAUAUACUUAGUUUAGAAAGUCUCUGCUUCAACGAAUGGGAGUGUUUAACUACUAAGGCAUUGAUUAGAAUGUUCUCGUACGAUCGGCCGGGAGACGUUAAAAAAAUGACACAACAGCUGAUUCAGCCGGUAACGAAUUU